UACGUAGGGUGCGAGCGUUGCUCGGAAUCACUGGGCGUAAAGCGCACGUAGGCGGAUCUUUAAGUCAGGGGUGAAAUCCUGGAGCUCAACUCCAGAACUGCCUUUGAUACUGGGGAUCUCGAGUCCGGAAGAGGUGAGUGGAACUCCGAGUGUAGAGGUGAAAUUCGUAGAUAUUCGGAAGAACACCAGUGGCGAAGGCGGCUCACUGGUCCGGUACUGACGCUGAGGUGCGAAAGCGUGGGGAGCAAACAGG
rnacentral:rRNA from 1 species